rnacentral:misc_RNA from 1 species
GAUGAAGAACGUAGUGAAAUGCGAUAAGUAAUGUGAAUUGCAGAAUUCAGUGAAUCAUCGAAUCUUUGAACGCAUCUUGCGCUCCUUGGUAUUCCUUGGAGCAUGCCUGUUUGAGUAUCAUGAGCAAAUCUCAAAGUCAAUUCCUUUUGUUAAUUCAAUUGGUUUUGCUUUGGACUUGGAGGUCUUGCAGAUUUUCACAGUCUGCUCCUCUUAAAUGCAUUAGCUGGAUCUCAGUAAUUAUGCUUGGGUCCACUCGGCGUGAUAAGUAUCACUCGCUGAGGACACUGUUAAAAAGGUGGCCAGGAAAAUACUGAUUGAACCGCUUCUAACGGUCUAUUAAGUUAGACAAUUACCCUUAAGUUUGAUCUCAAAUCAGGUAGGACUACCCGCUGAACUUAAGCAUAUCAAUAAGCGGAGGA